GCAGCGUGCGACGCGGCCGCUCACGUGCGCGCAACCUCCCUGAAUCUACCACUCAAACCCCCACCCGACUGACGGCGCGCCGGAUCGGAAUCACCCACGCGCACGCUUGGCUUGCUCAACCGCGGCGGCCCGGCGGGAAUGGGGAGCACGGGGCGCGGCGGCGAGGUGGCGGCGGCGGGUGAGGUGACCCGCGCCGACUUCCCCGACGGCUUCGUCUUCGGCAUCGCCACCUCCGCCUACCAGAUCGAGGGCGCAAGAAAUGAGGGUGGCAAAGGCGAUAGCAUAUGGGAUGUAUUUGCAGAUAAAAAAGAACAUAUUCUUGACGGAACCUCUGGAGAAGUUGCAGUUGAUCAUUACCAUCGAUAUAAGGAAGACAUUGAGCUCAUGGCCAAGUUGGGUUUUGGUGCUUACAGAUUUUCCAUAUCUUGGUCACGGAUAUUUCCUGAUGGCCUAGGGAAGGAUAUCAAUGAGGAAGGAGUUGCUUUCUAUAACAACCUUAUAGAUUUCAUGAUUGAGAAAGGUAUUCAGCCUUAUGCAACUCUGUAUCACUGGGAUCUUCCACAUAAUCUUCAUCAGACUGUCGGGGGUUGGCUCUCGGACAAGAUUGUAGAGUACUUCGCAUUAUAUGCAGAAGCUUGCUUUGCAAAUUUUGGAGAUAGGGUUAAGCAUUGGAUAACAAUCAAUGAACCUCUUCAAACAUCCCUUCAUGGUUAUGGGAUUGGAAUAUUCGCACCUGGAGUAUGUGAAGGUGAAGCUGCUGAACCUUUUUUGGCUGCUCAUCACCAGAUCUUAGCUCAUGCUGCUUCUGUUGAUGUCUACAGAAGAAAAUUCAAGGCUGUACAAGGUGGCACAGUUGGGUUUGUCGUUGAUUGUGAAUGGGCAGAGCCAGCAUCUGACAAAAUAGAAGACCAGGCUGCUGCAGCACGACACAUUGACUUUCUACUUGGAUGGUACCUUGACCCAAUAUACUUUGGUGAUUACCCAGAAAGCAUGCGCAAGAGAUUGGGUGAUCGGCUUCCAAAUUUCUCAGAGAAAGAUCGUGAAUUUAUCAGGAACAAAAUUGAUUUUAUUGGAUUAAAUCACUAUACAUCAAAAUUCAUUGCGAAUCAGCCAAACCCGCAACCAAAAGAGAUCCAUUUUUUUCAAGCUCGGCAAGUUGAGAUACUCGAAAAAAGGAGCAGCGGUGAAGCAAUUGGUGAAAGAGCUGCGUCUGAGUGGCUUUGCAUAGUUCCUUGGGGUAUUCGGAAAAUGAUAAAUUACAUAGCAAAGAAAUAUGACAAUCCAAUAAUAUAUGUAACAGAGAAUGGCAUGGAUGACCUAGAUGAUCCAUCAGCAGCACUUGACCAGUUCUUAAAUGAUACAAAGAGGGUAGGUUUCUUCAAAGGAUAUGUCGGUGCUGUCGCAGAAGCAAUAAAGGAUGGAGCUGAUGUUCGUGGAUACUUUGCAUGGUCAUUCUUGGAUAACUUUGAGUGGGCUCAGGGAUUCACCAAGAGGUUUGGGAUUGUCUAUGUUGAUUACAAGAAUGGGCUCUCUCGACACCCUAAAGCAUCAGCCAUGUGGUUCUCACGCUUCUUGAAUGGCACGGGUGCUGACAGCAAACCUGACACAUACUAAGCCUGCCUUUCCCGAGGCUCUAAAGGAUUAUACUGCAGCUGUUUAUAUCAACACUAAAAACGGCUUUGCGACAUUCCAAAUUGGCCUUUACAGCCUGCCAUUUAUCCAAUUGUUGUCCAAAUGGAUGUUUAAGGACCCAGAGUUCCCAGGGGUGAAUGUUCAAAAAAAGAAAGUACCCAGAGUUCCCUGCUUUCUGAAUUCAUGUCAGGCAACACCCUUAACCAUUAACGAAUGAUACUUAUGUAUGUUUGAUACUUAGCUGCUGCUGCUUCUGUGUUAAUCCUAUAGACCGGCCCUUCAUAGGCCCCGAUAAGCGAUUACCCGUAACCAGAUUGUUUGUCUCAGUUU